CAGCAGCCACGGGAAUACGUAGGUGGCAAGCGUUGUCCGGAAUUAUUGGGCGUAAAGGGCUCGCAGGCGGUUUCUUAAGUCUGAUGUGAAAGCCCCCGGCUCAACCGGGGAGGGUCAUUGGAAACUGGGAAACUUGAGUGCAGAAGAGGAGAGUGGAAUUCCACGUGUAGCGGUGAAAUGCGUAGAGAUGUGGAGUAACACCAGUGGCGAAGGCGACUCUCUGGUCUGUAACUGACGCUGAGGAGCGAAAGCGUGGGGAGCGAACAGGAUUAGAUACCCGCGUAGUCCCUGUCUCUUAUAC
rnacentral:rRNA from 1 species